rnacentral:rRNA from 1 species
CCUACGGGGGGCAGCAGUGGGGAAUAUUGCACAAUGGGGGAAACCCUGAUGCAGCGACGCCGCGUGAGUGAAGAAGUAUUUCGGUAUGUAAAGCUCUAUCAGCAGGGAAGAAGAAAGACGGUACCUGACUAAGAAGCCCCGGCUAACUACGUGCCAGCAGCCGCGGUAAUACGUAGGGGGCAAGCGUUAUCCGGAUUUACUGGGUGUAAAGGGAGCGUAGACGGCUGUGCAAGUCUGAAGUGAAAACCCGGGGCUCAACCCCGGGACUGCAUUGGAAACUGUCAGGCUAGAGUGUCGGAGAGGCA